rnacentral:tRNA from 1 species
GGCCUCGCAGCUUAGUUGGUCAAAGCGUUGGCUGCUCUCAAGCCUUCUGUCAUGGGUCCAAAUCCCACCAAGACCA